AGUGGCGGACGGGUGAGUAACGCGUGAGGAACCUGCCUUGAAGAGGGGGACAACAGUUGGAAACGACUGCUAAUACCGCAUGACGCAUAGGGGUCGCAUGAUCUUUAUGCCAAAGAUUUAUCGCUUCAAGAUGGCCUCGCGUCUGAUUAGCUGGUUGGCGGGGUAACGGCCCACCAAGGCGACGAUCAGUAGCCGGACUGAGAGGUUGAACGGCCACAUUGGGACUGAGAUACGGCCCAGACUCCUACGGGAGGCAGCAGUGGGGAAUAUUGGGCAAUGGGCGCAAGCCUGACCCAGCAACGCCGCGUGAAGGAAGAAGGCUUUCGGGUUGUAAACUUCUUUUAAGAGGGAAGAGCAGAAGACGGUACCUCUAGAAUAAGCCACGGCUAACUACGUGCCAGCAGCCGCGGUAAUACGUAGGUGGCAAGCGUUGUCCGGAUUUACUGGGUGUAAAGGGCGUGCAGCCGGGUCUGCAAGUCAGAUGUGAAAUCCAUGGGCUCAACCCAUGAACUGCAUUUGAAACUGUAGAUCUUGAGUGUCGGAGGGGCAAUCGGAAUUCCUAGUGUAGCGGUGAAAUGCGUAGAUAUUAGGAGGAACACCAGUGGCGAAGGCGGAUUGCUGGACGAUAACUGACGGUGAGGCGCGAAAGUGUGGGGAGC
rnacentral:rRNA from 1 species